AGUGAACGCUGGCGGUAGGCCUAACACAUGCAAGUCGAACGGCAGCACAGGAGAGCUUGCUCUCUGGGUGGCGAGUGGCGGACGGGUGAGGAAUACAUCGGAAUCUACCCAGUCGUGGGGGAUAACGUAGGGAAACUUACGCUAAUACCGCAUACGACCUUCGGGUGAAAGAGGGGGAUCGCAAGACCUCUCGCGAUUGGAUGAGCCGAUGUCGGAUUAGCUAGUUGGCGGGGUAAUGGCCCACCAAGGCGACGAUCCGUAGCUGGUCUGAGAGGAUGAUCAGCCACACUGGAACUGAGACACGGUCCAGACUCCUACGGGAGGCAGCAGUGGGGAAUAUUGGACAAUGGGCGCAAGCCUGAUCCAGCCAUACCGCGUGGGUGAAGAAGGCCUUCGGGUUGUAAAGCCCUUUUGUUGGGAAAGAAAUCUUUCAGGCUAAUACCCUGGGAGGAUGACGGUACCCAAAGAAUAAGCACCGGCUAACUUCGUG
rnacentral:rRNA from 1 species